rnacentral:misc_RNA from 1 species
GAUGAAGAACGUAGCGAAAUGCGAUAAGUAAUGUGAAUUGCAGAAUUCAGUGAAUCUUCGAAUCUUUGAACGCACAUUGCGCCCCCCAGUAUUCUGGCGGGCAUGCCUGUUCGAGCGUCAUUUCAACCAUCAAGCCCUGCUUGUGUUGGGGUCCUGCGGCUGCCCGCAGGCCCUGAAAACCAGUGGCGGGCUCGCUAGUCACACCGAGCGCAGUAGCACAUCUCGCUCAGGGCGUGCGGCGGGCUCCAGCCGUUAAAGCACCCACCUUUCGCAAGGUUGACCUCGGAUCAGGUAGGAAUACCCGCUGAACUUAAGCAUAUCAAUAAGCGGAGGA